AGACUGAGAAGGUGACUAUGUCGAAGGAGAAAAGAGAGAGAGAGAGCUUUUCCUCUCUUCGGUUUUCGUUUUCAAAAAUCUGAACGAAUAAUACAACGCUGGCUUUGAGGUUGACACCUAGGCUAAAGCAAACCAUUUCACACCGGCUAUUCACACCACCUUCAUAUAAAUCUUUCUUCCUCUUUCUCUUUCUAUCUUUUCUGUCUUUCGAUCUAUCUUUUCUUGGUGCAAAAUUAAUCUGGUUUCGGUUGCGUGUUUUGGUGGCUACUUAAUUAUGGAGGGACACCAUCAUCCUCAUCAUCAACAUCAACAACAUCCUCAUCCUCAUAUCAGUGUUAACGUGGAUACAAGUGAUAGGUUUCCUCAAUGGAGUGUUCAAGAAACGAAGGAGUUCUUGAUGAUCAGAGCAGAGUUAGAUCGAACCUUUAUGGAGACAAAGAGAAACAAGCUUUUAUGGGAAGUUAUCGCCACAAAGAUGAAAGAAAAGGGUUAUAAUCGGAGCGCUGAACAGUGCAAGUGCAAGUGGAAAAACCUCUUUACUCGAUACAAGGGCUGUGAAACGGUGGAACCUGAAUCUUUGAGGCAGCAAUUCCCAUUUUACAAUGAGCUGCAGGCGAUUUUAUCUGCUAGAAUGCAAAGAAUGUUAUGGGCUGAAGCCGAAGGAGCAGCCAGCGGGUCGAAAAAGAAAGGGGUGCAGUUAUCUUCAGAUGAAGAAGAUGAUAACGAAGACAGUGAAGGAGAGAAGGGUAACGCUAAGAAGAAAAUAAAAAAGACAAGCAAGACCGGUGGGAAUACUAGUGGUAGUGGAAGCAACAAUAAUUUGAGAGAGAUAUUGGAGGAUUUCAUGAAGCAACAGAUGCAAAUGGAAAUGCAAUGGCGAGAAGCAUUCGAAGCAAGAGAGAACGAGAGGAGGUUAAGGGAGAUGGAGUGGAGACAAACAAUGGAAGCCUUGGAGAAUGAGAGGAUAAUGAUGGAUAGGAGGUGGAGAGAAAGAGAAGAACAAAGAAAAAUGAGAGAAGAGGCUAGGGCUGAGAAGAGAGAUGCUCUUAUCACAACACUUCUAAACAAGUUUAGAAGAGAAGACAUGUAGCCUUUUACUUGUUUUGAGAGAAUGUUCGGACUAGCUUGCAUUUAUCUUACAGAGAUUUGUCAAGCUCACUUUGUUUGACAAUCUAUUUUGUUUCAAGUGUAAAUGGAUAUCAAUCUUUGCUGGUUUUGCACUGGAGGCUCACAUGCAAACAACGCGUAACAUUGUAUUCUCUUGUCAGUCUACGAGACAAGCGUGUUUUUGGCUGAGUUACACUUAAAUAUUCUCACCGACAUAGAUUGUGUUUUGUGCUGGAGAUGAUUAAUUUCAUUUUUAAAUCAUUUUGCCUGUAGUCAAUAGUCAGGUUCUAAGUUGAAGCAAACCCAUGAGAUGUUUUGAAUUGUUUAUUGUUCGAUGGAGUUUCAUUCUCUAUUAAUUAAUUUUAGGAGAUUAAUUACCUCU